UACAGAGGUCUCAAGCGUUGUUCGGGAUUCAUUGGGCGUAAAGGGUGCGUAGGCGGCGCGGUAAGUCGGGUGUGAAAUCUCGGAGCUUAACUCCGAAACUGCAUUCGAUACUGCCGUGCUUGAGGACUGGAGAGGAGACUGGAAUUUACGGUGUAGCGGUGAAAUGCGUAGAUAUCAGGAGGAACACCAAUUGCGAAGGCAGCUCGCUGGGACGUUACUGACGCUGAGAACGCGAAAGCGUGGGGGAGCAAACAGG
rnacentral:rRNA from 1 species